UGAGGAAUAUUGGUCAAUGGACGCAAGUCUGAACCAGCGACGCCGCGUGCGGGAUGAAGGGGCUUAGCCUCGUAAACCGCUGUCAAGAGGGACGAGAGGGCGAUUUUGUCGUCCGGGACGGUACCUCUGAAGGAAGGAUCGGCUAACUACGUGCCAGCAGCCGCGGUAAUACGUAGGAUCCGAGCGUUGUCCGGAAUUACUGGGCGUAAAGGGUGCGUAGGCGGCAAUGUGCGUCAGAGGUGAAAUCCACGGGCUUAACUUGUGGGUGCCUUUGAUACGGCAUAGCUUGAGUACGAGAGAGGUCGAUGGAAUUCCUGGUGUAGCAGUGAAAUGCGUAGAUAUCAGGAGGAACACCGGUGGCGAAGGCGGUCGGCUGGCUCGUAACUGACGCUGAGGCACGAA
rnacentral:rRNA from 1 species